CCUUCGAUAGCUCAGUUGGUAGAGCGGUGGACUGUAGAUGGUAACAUAAGCAAUAGAAAUCCAUAGGUCGCUGGUUCAAAUCCGGCUCGAAGGA
rfam:Drosophila ficusphila unplaced genomic scaffold scf7180000454106, whole genome shotgun sequence